UGCCAUGUAAGCUAAGCUGCAUCGGGCAGGCAGGGACAGCAAGAUGGUGUCACAGAGGCAGGUCCUCAUAUCCUUGUUGCUGUGGGUCUCAGGUGCCUGCGGGGCGAUCACGAUGACGCAGUCUCCAGCCUCCCUGGGUCAGCGGGUCACCAUGAACUGCAGGGCCAGUCAGAGUGUUAGCAACUACAUCAACUGGUACCAACAGAAACCAGGACAGCGACCUAAGCUGCUCAUCUACGGUGCAUCCAACCGGGCAUCUGGAGUCCCCGACCGAUUCAGCGGCAGUGGGUCUGGGACAGAUUUCACCCUCACCAUCAACAACCUCCAGGCUGAAGACGUGGCGACUUAUUACUGUCAGCAGGAUUAUAGCACUCCUCCCACAGUGCUUCAGCCUCGUACACAAACCUCCUUCCCAGGGCCCUGGGUCAGGGAGGCUUCGCUGCACCUGCUGCUGCCUCCCUGCUCAGCUCUGAAUGUGCACGUUCCUGGGUCUGCCUUAGAAGCCACCUCUCCCGAUUUCUUCCUUGAAGGGCUGUUUAAAGCCAAGAGGAAAAUUAAUGGGGGUGGCUUUUUCUGGAUCCCUUUUAGUGAAGAUUAG